rnacentral:rRNA from 1 species
GACGAACGCUGGCGGCGUGCCUAACACAUGCAAGUCGAACGAAGCACCUAACUUUGAUUCUUUCGGGAUGAAGAGUUUUGUGACUGAGUGGCGGACGGGUGAGUAACGCGUGAGGAACCUGCCUUUCAGUGGGGGACAACAGUUGGAAACGACUGCUAAUACCGCAUAACAUGUACGGAUCGCAUGGUCUGUACAUCAAAGCUUUAUGUGCUGAAAGAUGGUCUCGCGUCUGAUUAGCUAGAUGGCGGGGUAACGGCCCACCAUGGCGACGAUCAGUAGCCGGUCUGAGAGGAUGAACGGCCACAUUGGGACUGAGAUACGGCCCAGACUCCUACGGGAGGCAGCAGUGGGGAAUAUUGGGCAAUGGGGGAAACCCUGACCCAGCAACGCCGCGUGAAGGAAGAAGGCCUUCGGGUUGUAAACUUCUUUUACCAGGGACGAAGAACGUGACGGUACCUGGAGAAAAAGCAACGGCUAACUACGUG